CAUACUUCAAAUUUUUAUCUUUUCCAGCUAGUGACAAGCAGUACGAUACUCUUCAGCAAUGCCAGGCAGCGGCAGCGAGCCAUGGUGCCCAGUCAGCCAUGCACUCAUGAGAGUAAACAACAGAUACUCUACAGUGUUCUGUGUUGCCAGAUGAUUUUGCCCAGCUAUAGGCUAAAGGCUGAAAACUAUAUGGUAUUCAAGGAGGACAACCUGCAAAAUAUUUAAUCUUAUUCUGAGGAUGUGCAAGAAGGAAGCUUCUUUGCUGUGUGACAAUCUGACCCUGGCUGGCAACCCCAUCGGGUUCCAUGCUUCCUUUUUGAGAGCCUAGUGCAUGUAGAAAGCUUUGCAUGGCAUCUGCUACCUCAAGAGGAUGUAAAGAUGCAAAAGACACAGUUUCUGCCUCAAGAAAAUGAAUGAAGUGACUGAUAGAUCUUCAGUAUGGUCAAGUUCAGGCCAGUCAGAGCCAGUAAUCUGUCCUCAGAGGUCAUCAAUCUGAAAACUAGAAGAUGCUGAGUUUGACCAAACAAAAAAGAUGAGUGUCCACGGGAGCAGAUGGGCAGCGCCCCACCUCUUCAGUCAGCCAACCCCAUCACGGCAAGUGGAAGUGGCAGCAGUGGAUGUACGAUAUGGCCGCAAAUACAGCAAAACUCAUAAUGGAAAAUUUAAACCAGCAUUUCAAACCAUAUUGGAUGGCUGAAAAUUAAUGAAAAUCAUAAGCCUGAGAAGAAUUGAGGAAAUUUACAGCAUCAGUGUACUAUUUAUAUGCCAACUAUGUAUA